rnacentral:tRNA from 1 species
GGGGUUAUAGCUCAGCUGGGAGAGCGCUUGCAUGGCAUGCAAGAGGUCCGCGGUUCGAUCCCGCAUAGCUCCACCA